UACGUAGGGUGCAAGCGUUUGUCCGGAAUUAUUGGGCGUAAAGAGCUCGUAGGCGGUUUGUCACGUCUGCUGUGAAAUUCCGAGGCUCAACCUCGGACUUGCAGUGGGUACGGGCAGGCUAGAGUGCGGUAGGGGAGAUGGGAAUUCCUGGUGUAGCGGUGGAAUGCGCAGAUAUCAGGAGGAACACCAAUGGCGAAGGCACAUCUCUGGGCCGUAACUGACGCUGAGGAGCGAAAGCGUGGGGAGCGAACAGG
rnacentral:rRNA from 1 species